AGAUAAGAAAAAUCUGAUGGAAAUGGAAACCAAGAAAUCUACCUACCAAAGUUGUCCGAAGCAAUCAGUUAUCAGGCAAAGAGACAGAUUGAGGCCUUCAAUCAAACGGAGGACUGAGAAAUAUGCAUGCACCAGUGCAUGCAUUCAGCAAGCGUUCGACAGGAUUUCUACAGGGCCGCCAGGUAGGCUAGCAGUUAAGAGCAUUUGGCCAGUAACCAAAAUGUCGCUGGUUCAAAUCCCGAGCUGAGUAAGUGAAAGAUGUGAGCAAUGUGCUUAACCCUAAUGGUUCCUGUAAAUUGAUCUGGAUUAGUGCAUCUGCUAAAUGACAAAAAAUUGAAGUAAAGUUCAGUCAGAGGCUAUACUUCUUGAAUGCUCAUGUAAAUUCUGAAGUUGCCCCUUGAGAACUCCUGGAUAUUUCUCUCAUGUAAAUGUUGUAGUUUUUGCUCUUUUCUUCAUUAACACUGCAUUAUGUUUUUAUUGUGAGAUAGUUAAGAACGUUGUAUUGGAUUUUAUGUGUUUAGACAUUGAAUACAUUUUGUUUAGUUGUUUAGUUCUCUGUGAGAAGCAAGUACAUUUAAAGUUAUUUGUGAUUUGGUUGAUGUCUAAAACAUUUUGAUGUUGUUUAAUACACUAAAUAACCAAUUUGCAUAUUCAUAAUGAUUUUGCAGCAAACAGUAGAAUGUUCGCCACAAGUUUCUCAGAGUAGUUUGCCAGAAGAUCACAAGUCGGCCCAAAUGUGCGCAACAGAAUUAAUUUGCAUGUGAAAAUAUAAGCUUGCUGCAAAUAGGCCAAAGAUUUGCCACAACUCUUUGCCAGAAGCCUGUUUUUUUGGUAAUGGCUAGUUCUCUGGACUUUUACUUUGAUGAAGUAGGCUAGGAUAGGAUAGAAAAUAGGUAUAUGAUCUGAGUCAUUAAAUGUCAGGGAGAUGAUCACUUUUAAAGGGGAACUGCACCUGCUGAUUUGGCCUCGUUUUUUGGCUUGUUCCUCAAGAAAUGUUGCAAAUAAUAAUUCAGAGACGUCAAAAUCUCCAUCACAUCAUCUUGCAAGUCUCCAAGUGCUGGUUCUGUUAGAUGCAUCCGUGAACUGCCAAUGGCAGGUGAUAGGUGAUAUCUAUGUUGAAGUUUGAACAGGUUCUCCCCAUCGAUGACUGUUGGUGAGCCAAUGCUCACCAACAGUCAUCGAUGGGGAGAACCCAUAGCAAUGUAGAUCAGCUUGGUCGCAAUGAUCAGCUAUGUUGAAUCUGGGUGCAGACACAAACGCAGAGCAUUAUCAAUGGCCUGUUCAGGGGCAGAACGACAGAUUUGUACCUUGUCAGCUCGGGGGUUUGAACUUGCAACCUUCCGGUUACUAGUCCAACGCUCUAACCACUAGGCUACCCUGCCACACCAGAUUAUCAAUGGUGGUUAUGAUUAGCCUGGUGAAACCAACCUGAUCACUACAUUCACCUUUCUAUUUCACUUCAGAUAUCAUAAAGUGUAAUAGAAUGGGGAACACAGCGAUUAGGCUGGGUCCACCAGGCUAGGUUAUACUCUGGACAUUAUUAUAUGCAUAUAAUAAAUGGAAGAUAAACAACAAAUUCAUGUCAGUUUACAUAAAUUAUGUUUCACAAUUGGUUUAUCAAAUAUAUAAAAGUAAUGAAGUGGGUUUCCUUCUGUAUUUGUACAAAUGGUGAACCUGUGAAAGCUGUUGACGCUGACAGGUGAAGGUUACUGGCUGGAUACUUGCCGACAUGUGGCUGACUGUUCAAUUCAUUGGAAUGCUCACAGAGCGGGAAUGUCUGUAUGAUGCUGAUGAGGUCCCCGUUACUGGUCUCCUCUAUGCUGCAUGUUUGGCUGCAAACUGGAAUAACUGCAGCAGGUAAUCUUAUGAGGUGGUGUUGACUGGGAGGGCCUGUGACAGGGUUAUAUAAUAGAUAGUAGUGAAUUAGCAUUUUGUUCUAAAGAAAGGACAAAGCAUUUAGCUAAUGCACUUCACAACCAAAAUGACUCCACUAGAUGUGUAGUCUUGGCUGGGGAAUUGGCUACUAGUUUAUCAAGCUGGGUAUUUUUUAAUACAGCUUUUCACAUUUCACAUAGCACUAAUUACCUAUCGUUGUUCAUGAAGCCGUCCCUGCCAUCAGAGCAGUAACUAGGGUCGCUAUCAGAGGCCUCAUGAUGGUGUGUCCUUUUCAUAGGAGUCGAGGGAGACCUGGCAACAAUGGAGGUGUCACAAGGGUACUUGUGUCGCAUGACACACUUUUAGUAGGAGGUCUUGCCUGACAAGCUGUGAAAAUAGCAAGUGAACGGUGAAUACAAUUAUUUUUGGAGGUCACUCAAACCAUGUCCAGCAAUCACAUUGCUGGACAUGUUAUGAUACCCACCUUUGCUCCUUUGGGUAGUUACCAGCAUCCGUUCAUGACCAGGGGAUCAGUCUGGCACCCAACUGUGUACUUUGUCUUACAGAAAAACAGGGUCAACGAUUGUCAUCAUCACUCAGUUAUGAAAAUGGAUAGAGAAAUAAUGUAAUCUUGUUUGGAAGCUAAUUCUAGCUUUACGGAUGUAGACUGACUGGCACCAGAUUGGAUUAGAUUCAGGCCGGUGACACCGUUGCACUAUGCAACCAACUGUGACAUGGUUUGCUAUGAUCCUGGGUUGGGUUGGGUUUGUUGCUGCUAGUUAGUACACUGUUGUUGUCAGACGUGAGUUAACAAAUGCCACCAAAGCUGCAUCCAAUAUUUAUUUGAGCCCUAGAGAUGGGAUGCACCUUGGAGGCUAAUGUGGCUGUUUCGUCUAAAUUACACUAAUUUAUAGGGACAUGGAAAUAUGAUGACAUCGCUAAAGUACGCUAAUAAUUAGUAGGAAACAACUCAAAUUUACUUGAGAAAGAUGUUUCCACUACUGUUACUAGCAAAGUUUGUCAAAAAUAGCUAGCAGUGCUAAUGUUAGCUCGCUAAAAUAGGGUGGUCUCCUCCAUCUUAGUUAGGUGGCUAAAGUUAUACUGUGUCUAAAGUCAAUCUGGCGACAUCACAAUCAUGACAAGGGUUUCCUACGAAUUAUUUGGCUUCUUUUGAAAUGUUAUUGUUUUUACAAGCCAAAUCCGAGUUGUAUUGAGGUAGGCUAAUGUUAGGUAGCUAGAUAGCUAAUUAGGUAGUUAGCUAGCUAGUUAGGUACAAAUGUAAGUAGAUAGCUAACAUCAGCUAUGCUAGCGAUGAUAAUGAUUAUCGAAAUAUACAUAACCAGCAGUUUAUGGUCUAGUUACCAGUAUACUCAC
rnacentral:lncRNA from 1 species